GAGCAUGACGCAUGCUCAAAGGCGGGGCACUGAACGGAAGCUGCGCAGAAAUUAUCUCUUAUUCGCUUCAGAAUAUACUGUAUACCUGAGACAUGGAAAUAAAAUAACUUGAUAUUUUUGCAAGCGUAUGUUUAUUAAAUGCUAUGUAUAUUAAUAAUUUAUGUGUAACUGCUGUAUAUCAUGUAUACUUAUGGAAUAAACUGAACGAAAAGCU
rnacentral:misc_RNA from 1 species